AUGCAAUUGUUUUGUUUGUUAUUUCCAAUGAACAUUUUGAAUAAGAUUUUCAUAGAAAUUUGGCUACAUUCAACUUUGUAUACUAUAGUAAUUCAAGCCAAAAUUAGAAUUAGAAGGGUCAAGUGGUUUGUUUUGUAUCAAUAUAGAGAAAUUAAAUACAGUUUUUUUUUACAGAAAAAUUAA